GGCGCCAUGGCUUAGUGGCAAAGCGCCUGUCUAGUAAACAGGAGAUCCUGGGUUCGAUCCCCAGUGGUGCCU
rfam:Ciona savignyi cont_35194, whole genome shotgun sequence.